AUGGAAGUUCUUGCCUUGAUGCUAGUGGUUGCUUACUGACCAGGUGGUGACUGCUGAAGGUGAGUGUGACUGUGGGAAUUUCUUAAAGUAAGACAACAGUCAAGUUUGCCAUAUUGACUGACUCUUCCUCUCAUGAAUGAUUUCCCUGUAACAUGCAAUCUGUUUGACAAUGUCUUACCCACAGCAGAGUCUCUCCUCUCAAACCCUCCUGCUGCUUUAUCAACUAAGUUGAUGUCAUAUUCUAGAUCCUUUGCUGUCAUUUCAACAAUCCUCACAGCAUCUUCAUCAGGAGUAGAUGCCAUCU